rnacentral:snRNA from 1 species
AUACUUAUCUGGCAGAGGAGAUACCAUGAUCACAAAGGUGGUUUUCCCAGGGCAAGGCUUUUCCAUUGCACUCCAGCUGUGCUGACCCCUGCGAUUUUCCCGAAUGUGGGAAACUCGACUGCAUAAUUUGUGGCAGUGGGGUACUGCGUUCUUGCUUUCCCCUG